GGGAAUUUUGGACAAUGGGGGAAACCCUGAUCCAGCCAUCCCGCGUGUGCGAUGAAGGCCUUCGGGUUGUAAAGCACUUUUGUCAGGGAAGAAAAGGUUUCGGAUAAUACCCGGAACUGAUGACGGUACCUGAAGAAUAAGCACCGGCUAACUACGUGCCAGCAGCCGCGGUAAUACGUAGGGUGCAAGCGUUAAUCGGAAUUACUGGGCGUAAAGCGUGCGCAGGCGGUUCGGAAAGAAAGAUGUGAAAUCCCAGGGCUCAACCUUGGAACUGCAUUUUUAACUACCGAACUAGAGUAUGUCAGAGGGGGGUGGAAUUCCACGUGUAGCAGUGAAAUGCGUAGAUAUGUGGAGGAACACCGAUGGCGAAGGCAGCCCCCUGGGAUAAUACUGACGCUCAUGCACGAAAGCGUGGGGAGCAAACAGGAUUAGAUACCCUGGUAGUCCACGCCCUAAACGAUGUCAACUAGCUGUUGGGCCCUUCGGGGCUUAGUAGCGCAGCUAACGCGUGAAGUUGACCGCCUGGGGAGUACGGUCGCAAGAUUAAAACUCAAAGGAAUUGACGGGGACCCGCACAAGCGGUGGAUGAUGUGGAUUAAUUCGAUGCAACGCGAAAAACCUUACCUACCCUUGACAUGUCUGGAAUCCUGAAGAGAUUUAGGAGUGCUCGCAAGAGAACCGGAACACAGGUGCUGCAUGGCUGUCGUCAGCUCGUGUCGUGAGAUGUUGGGUUAAGUCCCGCAACGAGCGCAACCCUUGUCAUUAGUUGCUACAUUUAGUUGAGCACUCUAAUGAGACUGCCGGUGACAAACCGGAGGAAGGUGGGGAUGACGUCAAGUCCUCAUGGCCCUUAUGGGUAGGGCUUCACACGUCAUACAAUGGUCGGGACAGAGGGUUGCCAAACCGCAAGGUGGAGCUAAUCUCAUAAACCCGAUCGUAGUCCGGAUUGCAGGCUGCAACUCGCCUGCAUGAAGUCGGAAUCGCUAGUAAUCGCGGAUCAGCAUGUCGCGGUGAAUA
rnacentral:rRNA from 1 species